rnacentral:lncRNA from 1 species
ACUAUUGGAUGACAUUAAAGGUGAGAUUCUAUCUUUACUGGGAAAAAAAAAAAAGGUGAGAUUCUAUAACUUUUUGACCGAGGAAUGGCUCUAUCCAAGUAGCAACAUCAAGGUAAUACGAAGCAUGAACGGGUGUCACAUGCAUAACAGUUAGCUUUAGCAUGCAACUCAUUUUGUGCAUCUAAUUCAACUGUCAGUCC